GAUGAACGCUGGCGGCGUGCUUAACACAUGCAAGUCGAACGAGAAAUGGAGACGGAAACCUUCGGGCGGAAGGCUUCAUUUCGAGUGGCGGACGGGUGAGUAACGCGUGGGUAACCUGCCUCAUACAGGGGGAUAACAGUUGGAAACGACUGUUAAUACCGCAUAAGACCACAGCACCGCAUGGUGCGGGGGUAAAAACUCCGGUGGUAUGAGAUGGACCCGCGUUCGAUUAGCCAGUUGGCGGGGUAACGGCCCACCAAAGCGACGAUCGAUAGCCGAUCUGAGAGGAUGACCGGCCACAUUGGGACUGAGACACGGCCCAAACUCCUACGGGAGGCAGCAGUGGGGAAUAUUGCACAAUGGGGGAAACCCUGAUGCAGCGACGCCGCGUGAGUGAAGAAGUACUUAGGUAUGUAAAGCUCUAUCAGCAGGGAAGAAAAUGACGGUACCUGAGUAAGAAGCCCCGGCUAACUACGUG
rnacentral:rRNA from 1 species